UUUAUGGAGAGUUUGAUCCUGGCUCAGGAUGAACGCUGGCGGCGUGCCUAAUACAUGCAAGUCGAGCGAACGGACGAGAAGCUUGCUUCUCUGAUGUUAGCGGCGGACGGGUGAGUAACACGUGGAUAACCUACCUAUAAGACUGGGAUAACUUCGGGAAACCGGAGCUAAUACCGGAUAAUAUUUUGAACCGCAUGGUUC
rnacentral:rRNA from 1 species